UAGGUGGCGAGCGUUAUCCGGAUUUACUGGGUGUAAAGGGCGCGUAGGCGGGAAAGCAAGUCAGAUGUGAAAUCUAUGGGCUUAACCCAUAAACUGCAUUUGAAACUGUUUUUCUUGAGUGAUGGAGAGGCAAGCGGAAUUCCUAGUGUAGCGGUGAAAUGCGUAGAUAUUAGGAGGAACACCAGUGGCGAAGGCGGCUUGCUGGACAUUAACUGACGCUGAGGCGCGAAAGCGUGGGGAGCAAA
rnacentral:rRNA from 1 species